GAUGAAGAACGCAGCGAAAUGCGAUAAGUAAUGUGAAUUGCAGAAUUCAGUGAAUCAUCGAAUCUUUGAACGCACAUUGCGCCCCUUGGUAUUCCGAGGGGCAUGCCUGUUCGAGCGUCAUUAUAACCCCUCAAGCUCAGCUUGGUGUUGGGGCCUGCUGCACUGGCAGCCCUUAAAAUCAGUGGCGGCGCCAUCUGGCUCUAAGCGUAGUAAUUCUUCUCGCUAUGGAGUCCUGGUGGAUGCUUGCCAUCAACCCCCAAUUUUUCUAUGGUUGACCUCGGAUCAGGUAGGGAUACCCGCUGAACUUAAGCAUAUCAAUAAGCGGAGGGA
rnacentral:misc_RNA from 1 species